UGUAAGCAUGUUGAAAUUGGUAGACAAGCUAUUCUUAGGAAAUAGUAGUGUAAAACUGUGUGGGUUCAAGUCCCACUGCUUACAA
rnacentral:tRNA from 1 species